rnacentral:lncRNA from 1 species
GCCACUGCACUCCAGCCUGGGCAACAAGAGCGAGAAUCCAUCCCAAAAAAAAAAAAAAAGCACGUAAACAGAAAAAUUAUGACAUAGAGAGAUGAGUGAAGCAGUGGAAGUAGGCACAAAGAGGAAAGGAGGCAUAGGCAAUGGCUGAAUCUCUUUGAGCAGGAAAAGGAUCUCACCUUUUUUGUGUUUUUUUCUUACUUUUUUUUUUAAUCUUAGAAAAAGCCACAGAAGUUACUAAAACUAAUAUUCUUAAUCUUGUGACUCUGAAAGUCUAUUAUGCUCUAACCUUUAGUAGAAGAGACUAGUAUUAUUUUUUGGUAAUAUUGUUUUAGUUAUAUAAGGGGGAGGAGAAAUGCACUGAGUUGAACAGUAAAAUACACUUUACCCUUGAACAACACAGGUUUGAAUGG